UAGGUUUUCUUAAUCUGGAACCAUGUGGUCCUGGAUGCCUGGAAACUCUAAUGUUUGAAGAUUUGCUGAUUCCGUUGGUAGGAAGAAGAAGGCCUGCAGAAAUUGUCUGUCUCUUGAGAUACCUCUGGAUGGAUUCUACAAAUAUGUACUGCAUGAAGGUUUUUCACAUCUCACAUUGGCUAAAAGAUUUCUUACAUGGUUCAAUUUAAAGAGAAAUGUAAUAUAUCACCAAAUAGGAGGAUUUUGAUCAACUUUCCUUCUACACAGAUGAGACUGGUUUAUCUUUAAGAAAUUUCUGGGAUGGUAAGUACUCACCAGUACAGGGGAUAAGAUAUCUUUCCAGGUCUAAGGUAAUUUGAUUAGGCUUUUAAUCCUUACCCAGAAGAAAGCUACACCUUUUUUCGCCAGGCUUUCUCCCUUCUUAUUAAUUGCCUAGCUUAAUUUGUACAAUCUUUCCAAAAUUUGGAACCCCCUAUUUUAAUCUCCAGCUUAAAAGUCCUUGACUCCUGUUCUCCAUAAGAUAUUUCCGGAAGUUCUUCUCUACACUAUAGGAUUCUCAUUCCUUCAUUGUGUGGCCCUCAGGGGGCUGCUAUGACACUCAUAACACAUAAUGGCACUCACUGCUCUGCACAUUUACAUGUGCUGUGCUCUGCUGUAUAUUUUCUGAGCACAGGGAGUGGGAAUGUAGUUUUACAUUCUAAGCACUGAGCACAGUUUGGCCCAAAGGAGUUCCUUAACAAAUAUUUCACGGCUGCAUAAAACAGCAUCACCUUUCAUUGCAUUCAAGACCCCUCAAAAAUCUGGCUCACUCAUGUUUGUCCAGCCUCCUCUCCUUUCCUUUGUAUUUAGCUUCCAGAUGGCUGCCACUCAGGAUCAUUUAAACACUCAAGUUUUCACCCUGUGCCCAUGCUAGUCUCCAUGUCUCUCCUUGUUGAGAUCUUAUUUACUUUUUUCAGCCUAAUUUAAAUACUCAUGUGUAUGUCUGAAUGUAUGCGUGUGUGAGAAAACUUUGACCCUUCUCUAACCGCAGCUAGAAAUCAUUUUGUCUCCUGUGUGUGCUUCGCUGUAAUCUGUUUAAUCCCAGUUGGUUGCAUUAUAGCUAGCUGUGCAUAUCAUGAUUUCCCUUACUUGCUGGCGAGUUCCUUG
rnacentral:lncRNA from 1 species